rfam:Brassica rapa chromosome A3, whole genome shotgun sequence.
GUGGCUGUAGUAUAGUGGUUAGUAUUCCGCGUUGUGGCCGUGGAGACCCGAGCUCGAAUCUCGGCAGCCACA